UACAGAGGGUGCAAGCGUUAAUCGGAAUUACUGGGCGUAAAGCGUGCGCAGGCGGUUUUGUAAGCCAGAUGUGAAAGCCCCGGGCUUAACCUGGGAAUGGCAUUUGGGACUGCAAGGCUUGAGUGCGGCAGAGGAGACUGGAAUUCCUGGUGUAGCAGUGAAAUGCGUAGAUAUCAGGAGGAAUACCGAUGGCGAAGGCAGGUCUCUGGGCUGACACUGACGCUCAUGCACGAAAGCGUGGGGAGCAAACAGG
rnacentral:rRNA from 1 species